AACGUAGGACGCAAGCGUUAUCCGGAGUUACUGGGCGUAAAGCGCGGGCAGGCGGCCCGACACGUCUGAUGUGAAAUCUCCUCGCUCAACGGGGAGAGGCCAUUGGAAACGGUCGGGCUGGAGGGCGGUAGAGGUAGGCGGAAUUCCGGGUGGAGUGGUGAAAUGCGUAGAUAUUGGGAAGAACACCGGUGGCGAAGGCGGCGACCUGGUCCUUUACUGACGCUGAGGCGCGAAAGCGUGGGGAGCAAACAGG
rnacentral:rRNA from 1 species